UUCGGCCUGAUUAACAGACCUACUUUAUGUACGACAUCUUGAGUUAAUGCGUUGUAAGUGCUAUCCCUGGUAGCCUUUGUUGACCGUUUCCUUCUGAAAGUGCCUCCAUAAGUAAUAGCUGAUACUGGCCAACACAUGCCCAAGGUGGCAACACGUUUAUAUCAAUACAUAGGAAAGUCGAAUGUCUGACAAAAUGAAAGGUCAAGUGAAGUGGUUCAACGAAUCUAAAGGCUUUGGUUUCAUCACUCCAGCUGAUGGUAGCAAAGACGUAUUUGUACACUUCUCUGCCAUUCAAGGUAACGGUUUCAAAACUCUGGCAGAAGGCCAGGAUGUAGAAUUCACCAUUGAAAGUGGUGCCAAAGGCCCAGCAGCAGCAAACGUAACUGCUAUCUAAUUUCGCCUUUAUGCCUUAUUUAAGCUCGCCAGCACAAAAUGCCGUGGCGGGCUUUUU
rnacentral:sRNA from 1 species